rnacentral:rRNA from 1 species
UACGGGGGGGGCAAGCGUUGUUCGGAAUUACUGGGCGUAAAGGGCGCGUAGGCGGCCAUCUAAGUCAGACGUGAAAUCCCUCGGCUCAACCGAGGAACUGCGUCUGAUACUGGAAGGCUUGAAUCCGGGAGAGGGAUGUGGAAUUCCAGGUGUAGCGGUGAAAUGCGUAGAUAUCUGGAGGAACACCGGUGGCGAAGGCGACAUCCUGGACCGGCAUUGACGCUGAGGCGCGAAAGCCAGGGGAGCAAAGCGGG